AUUGAACGCUGGCGGAAUGCUUUACACAUGCAAGUCGAACGGCAGCACGGACUUCGGUCUGGUGGCGAGUGGCGAACGGGUGAGUAAUGUAUCGGAACGUGCCCAGUCGCGGGGGAUAACGUAGGGAAAAUUACGCUAAUACCGCAUACGAUCUAUGGAUGAAAGCGGGGGAUCGCAAGACCUCGCGCUCUUGGAGCGGCCGUGAUCAGAUUAGGUAGUUGGUGGGGUAAAGGCCCACCAAGCCAACGAUCUGUAGCUGGUCUGAGAGGACGACCAGGCACACUGGAACUGAGACACGGUCCAGACUCCUACUGGAGGCAGCAGUGGGGAAUUUUGGACAAUGGCGAAAGCCUGAUCCAGCCAUUCCGCGUGCAGGAUGAAGGCCCUCGGGUUGUAAACUGCUUUUGUACAGAACGAAAAGGUUUCUACUAAUACUAGGAGCUCAUGACGGUACUGUAAGAAUAAGCACCGGCUAACUACGUGCCAGCCGCCGCGGUAA
rnacentral:rRNA from 1 species